rnacentral:rRNA from 1 species
UACGAAGGGUGCUAGCGUUGUUCGGAAUCACUGGGCGUAAAGCGCACGUAGGCGGCUUUUUAAGUCGGGGGUGAAAUCCUGGAGCUCAACUCCAGAACUGCCUUUGAUACUGAGAAGCUUGAGUCCGGGAGAGGUGAGUGGAACUGCGAGUGUAGAGGUGAAAUUCGUAGAUAUUCGCAAGAACACCAGUGGCGAAGGCGGCGCACUGGCCCGGUACUGACGCUGAGGUGCGAAAGCGUGGGGAGCAAACAGG